rnacentral:rRNA from 1 species
UGGGGAAUAUUGGACAAUGGGCGAAAGCCUGAUCCAGCCAUGCCGCGUGUGUGAAGAAGGUCUUCGGAUUGUAAAGCACUUUAAGUUGGGAGGAAGGGGUGUAGAUUAAUACUCUGCAAUUUUGACGUUACCGACAGAAUAAGCACCGGCUAACUCUGUGCCAGCAGCCGCGGUAAUACAGAGGGUGCAAGCGUUCAUCGGAAUUACUGGGCGUAAAGCGCGCGUAGGUGGUUAGUUAAGUUGGAUGUGAAAUCCCCGGGCUCAACCUGGGAACUGCAUUCAAAACUGACUGACUAGAGUAUGGUAGAGGGUGGUGGAAUUUCCUGUGUAGCGGUGAAAUGCGUAGAUAUAGGAAGGAACACCAGUGGCGAAGGCGACCACCUGGACUGAUACUGACACUGAGGUGCGAAAGCGUGGGGAGCAAACA